rnacentral:ncRNA from 1 species
AUAAAGGCGAUGAGGAGAAAAAGUAGAAUCUGGCCAUUUUUUACAGAGAGCUUCGGUUGGUGAAAAGAAGCAAAAAUGCGGAUUCGAACAUGGUCUCCAAGCUCCGUGCUGAACGUGCUCUUAUUCAUAAGGGCAUUAGUAGGUUCCGGCGAGGUUGGCGCUCGUUACAAAGGCCGCAGUAUAAGAGUUCAAACCGGUUUUUGAGCUCCGUACUGGCUGAGGCUGCUUUGCGCGAGCGGGCAGCGAAGUAAGGUGGUACCACGUAAGUCAACCACGUCCUUAUC